rnacentral:lncRNA from 10 species
AGGACCGUAAUUGCAGAUCCCUUUUCCUUAAGAGGAAUGAAAGUCCAGGAGACAGGUCUGGAGUCUGGCUUCACUGGGACCUCUCCUCCAUGCCUCCCAAGGCUGCAAACAAAGUGUCAUUUAGGCAGCAUUACUCUUUGUAACUCAGGAUUCUCUUCCAAACUCACAUGGUUGUUGGCAGAAUUCAACUCCUUGCAGCUCUAUGACUGAAGCUCUUGUUUUCUUGCCAGCUGAUGUCCAGGGAGCACUCUCAGCUGCCAGAGGCCUCUCUCAGGUCCUUGCCAUAUGGCACCCUCCAUAGACCUCUUACAACAUGGCAACUUCCUUCUUUCAGGCAAGCAGGAGAGUGUCUGCUGCUUUAAACCUUCCUCUUCAGGAAGGACCUAGUCUCUCUUUUAAAGGCUUACCAUAUUUAAGUCCAGUCCACCAAUGGUAAUUGUUCUUUCAAUUAACUCAAAUUCGACAGAUUAGUCAACCCAAUUAGUAUUGGGAGUA